UGCACCGUAACUAGAAAGAGUAUUGCACGAAUUCCUUCUCAUCAAAGAGUAAUUGGGGUGUCGAACAACUAUCUUAUAGUAUUUAUUUCAUGUUUAAAUUAUGAAUAAUUAUAUAUAUAUACUCUUUUCUUUUUUCAAAAAAAUUAUUUACUACCCCAUUAUCACUCGUUUAUUUUAAUAUAUAUAUAUAUGAGUGGGUAGAAAAAUGGAGAGUGAGUACGACUUUUUUCGUUAGUGAGUAAAAUUUUAAAUUUAAACCCUUAAAGGAUUGGUGUGUGUUGGGUAAUCAAUAACCGGUGUACCUAGAUUUGAGCUAUCUAGGUUCAAUUUCGUUGAAUGUUUUGUUAUUUUUGUGGUGUUUGGUUUGGUUCAGUAUCUCUGCAAUUUAGGUUAGAUUUUGUUGAAUUUUUUGUUAUAUUUGUGGUGUUUAAUUUGGUUCAUUAUCUGUGCAAUUUAGGUUAGAUUUUGUAGAUUUUUUUGUGUUUGCCUGAUGUUCCUGCUGGGAUUGUAUUUGUGGUUUUAAUCUAACUGUAAAUAUAGUACUAUUUCUCAUGGUUUACGACCUGCCUUCUUUUAUUUCUGUGCUAUCAUUUUAGCAUUCAUAUAUUAAUUUCCUUCUGUUGCCCUAAUUGUUUUAGUUUGUUUAUCAUGUUUCUAUUGCUUUAAAAGUGUUUAGUUUGUUUAUGAUGUUUGUAUACAGUAGCAGGAGCAUUCAUUUAUUGCCUUCAAUGUGCUCUAAUUUAAUGGUUGUUUACUUAUUUAGUUUAUUAUGAUGUUUGAUGUGUACAGAUUAUGGCGUCUAGUGGUUUUCCCAAUCCCAUUUAUGAAUCUGUUUAUCCUAGUUCUCAUCAUUAUGUUGAACCUCCCACAUAUCCUUGUUAUUCAUGUGAGUUUUGGGGAUUAAAUGUGAGCCACUAUGUUGAAUCAAACCUUUCUUUACUGGAUCAGAAUUGACUAAGUUUGAAUACUUCUUUCUUAAAUUUAAUUGCAAUAUAUACGCGUUAAGGUCUGUUGCAAAGAAGAUACCGGCUCACCUGUGGGAUCGGUGGGUUCUGUUAGGACUUCUUAAGCCAAAGCCUUUGCCCCUUUGAACGAUGUGCCUAAAGAUGUCCUUGAAAAAUGCUAUGCGGGCAUGCCAUAUUUCCCUACCGGAUACUGAAUUUUGCUAUUUGUAUUGGAUGCCUUACUGAUGCGAAUUUGUCUGAUUUUGAGGUUCUGCGUUUGGAACAUGAUGGUAUCAUGUAAGCUGGGCUUUGACUUAAGAGGGCCUAACCGAACUCACCGAUCCCUCAGGUGGGCCGGUAUCUUCUUUGCAGCAGACCUUAACGCGUAUAUGUCGCAAUUAUAUUUUAGAAAGAAGUCUUCAAACUUAGUCAAUUCCGAUCCAGUCAAGAGAGUUUUGAUGCAACAUAGUGGUUCACAUUUAAUUCCCAAAGACUCACAUGGAUAACAAGGAUAUGGGAGGUUCACUAAGAGAUUCACUACGUUCAUGUUCAGGAAGAGCAAUAUAAUGCAGCAAAUUUACCUGAUUUCUUCAGAAGGCUUAAUGCUAGUUUUGAUGAUUUAAGGAACCAGUUAUCUAAACAUGAUAAACGAUUCACCAUCACACAACAAUACACAACAAUCUGUGUAUGCUAUGGUCGCAUGCAGAAAGUAUAUGUCAAGAGCUGGUUGUGUCUCCUGUUUUGAUUAUGCAGUUUUUCAUAUAAGAACUUGCGCUGGUUCUAAUGGUGCUCGUCUUAUCUAUGAUGGUUGCUUCCUCAGGAAAUGCUGAGAUCUGUGGAAAUCGAACAGCUUCUCAGCCGCAUGCUUUGAACCCUGUGGCACUACAGCUCUUGAAUGAUCUUAGCAUGGCAACUCCAAGAAUUAGUGGCUUCUUUACUGUCUAUGGAGUAGCACAAAGCGCUGAAACCAUCACUGAAAGUGGCUGCCAAGAUUGCUUGACAGUGGCAUAUAAGAACAUAGAAGGCUGUUUUGCCUAAUUAUGCAGAAGGAAGGACUGUUGAUGUUUUAUGAAGUUCUCAGAUAGAGCAUUUUUUUUUUUCUUUUUGAUAAUCAGAUAACUGAUAUCACACUGUUCCUUGGUAGAGAAGGUAGGACAUGAAGUUCUCUUUAGCUUACCAGUAUUAAUUCAUUUUAAAACGGCCUUAAAAUUAGUGGCGGUGCUAAAGUUCAAUGAAGGAGAAUGCCAUUGUUGGGGGUGUAGGACUUCUAAUGAUUGUAUUUGGUUGUGUUCCUAUUCCUAUUGUAUCGUCGACUAUCAAGAAAACCACAGGCGGCAGAAAGAGAUAAACUUGGAAGGUCACUUCUCAAUUUAAAAGGAAAAAAGAAAAGAUACAAACAAAUUCAAAGAAGUAGCAUCACCUUCCGCAAGUAUUAUAGAUCCUUGAGUUCCUUUGUUUGGCUCCUAGUAACAUUCUUUCCCCUUCAAAGCCUUCAAUUAUUUGAACUUUAGGACAGGAACUGGGUUUUUCUUUUUCCCUUGUGUUUAUUUAUGUAGUAGCUGAGCUGAGAGGUCCUGUGAACUACAGAUUAAUGAUUUCAAUGAAAGUAAUAAAUUGCUCUUUUGC